GCCUGGGUGGCUCAGUCGGUUGAGCGUCCGACUUCGGCUCGGGUUGUGAUCUCACGGUUCGUGGGUUCGAGCCCCACGUUCGGGCU
rnacentral:tRNA from 1 species